rnacentral:ncRNA from 1 species
GAGCCUGCGGCUUAAUUUGACUCAACACGGGGAAACUUACCAGGUCCAGACAUAGUAAGGAUUGACAGACUGAGAGCUCUUUCUUUUUUUAAAAUGUAAAUGAUAUAAAAUCAGAAAUGGAAUAUUACAUGUACACAGGGUA